rnacentral:rRNA from 2 species
GAUGAACGCUGGCGGCGUGCCUAAUACAUGCAAGUCGAACGAGUUCUGAUUAUUGAAAGGUGCUUGCAUCUUGAUUUAAUUUUGAACGAGUGGCGGACGGGUGAGUAACACGUGGGUAACCUGCCCUUAAGUGGGGGAUAACAUUUGGAAACAGAUGCUAAUACCGCAUAAAUCCAAGAACCGCAUGGUUCUUGGCUGAAAGAUGGCGUAAGCUAUCGCUUUUGGAUGGACCCGCGGCGUAUUAGCUAGUUGGUGAGGUAACGGCUCCCAAGGCAAUGAUACGUAGCCGAACUGAGAGGUUGAUCGGCCACAUUGGGACUGAGACACGGCCCAAACUCCUACGGGAGGCAGCAGUAGGGAAUCUUCCACAAUGGACGCAAGUCUGAUGGAGCAACGCCGCGUGAGUGAAGAAGGCUUUCGGGUCGUAAA